CUUUUCUGAUAAUCAGGGCCGACCUUUGGGGUCUUCAAGCUGUGUGGCCACACAGGCGCCAUGGAAACAGGGGCACCAGGUGGCCAACACAGCUCGGC